UACGUAGGGUCCGAGCGUUGUCCGGAUUUAUUGGGCGUAAAGAGCUCGUAGGCGGUUCCGUAAGUCAGAUGUGAAAACUCAGGGCUCAACCCGGAGACGCCAUCUGAUACUGCGGUGACUGGAGUCUGGUAGGGGAACACGGAAUUCCUGGUGUAGCGGUGAAAUGCGCAGAUAUCAGGAGGAACACCGAUGGCGAAGGCAGUGUUCUGGGCCGAUACUGACGCUGAGGAGCGAAAGCGUGGGGAGCGAACAGG
rnacentral:rRNA from 1 species